UUCUAAGGUACGGUAUCUUGACUGCA
rnacentral:sRNA from 1 species